rnacentral:rRNA from 1 species
AUUGAACGCUGGCGGCGUGCCUAAUACAUGCGAGUCGAGCGAACGGAUAAGGAGCUUGCUCCUUUGAAGUUAGCGGCGGACGGGUGAGUAACACGUGGGUAACCUACUUAUAAGACUGGAAUAACUUCGGGAAACCGGAUCUAAUGCCGGAUAACAUUUGGAACCGCAUGGUUCUAAAGUAAAAGAUGGUUCCGAUAUCACUUAUAGAUGGACCCGCGCCGUAUUAGCUAGUUGGUAAGGUAACGGCUUACCAAGGCAACGAUACGUAGCCGACCUGAGAGGGUGAUCGGCCACACUGGAACUGAGACACGGUCCAGACUCCUACGGGAGGCAGCAGUAGGGAAUCUUCCGCAAUGGACGAAAGUCUGACGGAGCAACGCCGCGUGAGUGAUGAAGGUUUUCGGAUCGUAAAACUCUGUUAUUAGGGAAGAACAAAUGUGUAAGUAACUGUGCACAUCUUGACGGUACCUAAUCAGAAAGCCACGGCUAACUACGUGCCAGCAGCCGCAGUAA